GAUCUCCCACCAAAUCAACGCUCAGAUGCCCCAUCCGCGCUCGCAUCGCGCUGCAUCCGCGCUUCGUCGCACGCGCGGCCCCUCCCCUUUCUCCGCCCUCCGUCGCGGCCGCCUUCCAACCCACGCUUCCCGCUCCCUUCGCCGCCGCCCCCACUGCUCGCGCGCCUCCGCCCCUCGCGCCGAUCUCCUCCGCGGCGCCCCUCCGCCCAUCGCAACGAUCUACUCUGCGCCGCCCCCAUCCCUACCCUAACCAUCGUCGACCCCCUCCCCUUCCAACCUCGCCGGCCAUCCGCCCGUCGCUCCAUGCCCGUCGGAGAUCGCCGGCCGCCGGUUCCCCUAACCGCCGCAAUCGACCCCAUACCGGCGCCGCUGCACAUCCUGAUCACCGUCCAGUCGCCUUUCAUCCCUCGGCCGGUCUCCGUCGCCUCGCCAUCAGGUGUCGAGCGCGGAGAGAGAGGCACCCAGGCUGACCUCGCUGGUGGCGACCUGGUGGUCUGUGUGACCUGCAAGUGUGGUGUCCACAAGGAGUUCGGCUUCGACCAUUCCCACUGA
rnacentral:lncRNA from 1 species